rnacentral:rRNA from 1 species
GACGAACGCUGGCGGCGUGCCUAAUACAUGCAAGUAGAACGCUGAAGGAGGAGCUUGCUUCUCUGGAUGAGUUGCGAACGGGUGAGUAACGCGUAGGUAACCUGCCUGGUAGCGGGGGAUAACUAUUGGAAACGAUAGCUAAUACCGCAUAAUAGUAGAUGUUGCAUGACAUUUGCUUAAAAGGUGCAAUUGCAUCACUACCAGAUGGACCUGCGUUGUAUUAGCUAGUUGGUGGGGUAACGGCUCACCAAGGCGACGAUACAUAGCCGACCUGAGAGGGGGAUCGGCCACACUGGGACUGAGACACGGCCCAGACUCCUACGGGAGGCAGCAGUAGGGAAUCUUCGGCAAUGGACGGAAGUCUGACCGAGCAACGCCGCGUGAGUGAAGAAGGUUUUCGGAUCGUAAAGCUCUGUUGUAAGAGAAGAACGAGUGUGAGAGUGGAAAGUUCACACUGUGGCGGUAUCUUACCAGAAAGGGACGGCUAACUACGUG